rnacentral:rRNA from 1 species
GGGGGGGGGGGGGGGGGGGGGGGGGGGGGGGGGGUGGGGGGGGGGGGCCGGGGGGUGGUGGGGUGCUGGGGUGGCGGCCGGGGGCGUGACGCGGGGGUAGACUGCCCGUGGGUGUGUGAUAGCGUCGGGAGAGUGGGGCUAAGACCCGAUCGGAGCUGCGGCGGCUGGGUGGGGGUUGACAAGUUUCGGCGGGUGGGGAUGGCCUGGCGGUUUAUGAGCGUGUUGGUGGGGUAGUGGUUUACCAAGCAUUGGACGGGUAGCCGUCCUGAGAGGGUGACCGGCCACAUUGGGACUGAGAUACGGCCCAGCCUCCUACGGGAGGCAGCAGUGGGGAAUAUUGCACAAUGGGCGGAAGCCUGAUGCAGCAACGCAGCGUGCGGGAUGACGGCCUUCGGGUUGUAAACCGCUUUCGCCUGUGACGAAGCGUGAGUGACGGUAAUGGGUAAAGAAGCACCGGCUAACUACGUG